GGAAGUAAAGUCGUAACAAGGUUUCCGUAGGUGAACCUGCGGAAGGAUCAUUACUGAGUGAGGGCCCUCUGGGUCCAACCUUCCACCCGUGUUUAUUGUACCUUGUUGCUUCGGUGCGCCCGCCUCACGGCCGCCGGGGGGCUUCUGCCCCCGGGUCCGCGCGCACCGGAGACACCAUUGAACUCUGUCUGAAGAUUGCAGUCUGAGCAUAAACUAAAUAAGUUAAAACUUUCAACAACGGAUCUCUUGGUUCCG
rnacentral:misc_RNA from 1 species